rnacentral:rRNA from 1 species
GACGAACGCUGGCGGCGUGCUUAACACAUGCAAGUCGAACGGAAAGGCCCUGCUUUUGUGGGGUGCUCGAGUGGCGAACGGGUGAGUAACACGUGAGUAACCUGCCCUUGUCUUUGGGAUAACUUCAGGAAACUGGGGCUAAUACCGGAUAGGAGCUCCUGCUGCAUGGUGGGGGUUGGAAAGUUUCGGCGGUUGGGGAUGGACUCGCGGCUUAUCAGCUUGUUGGUGGGGUAGUGGCUUACCAAGGCUUUGACGGGUAGCCGGCCUGAGAGGGUGACCGGCCACAUUGAGACUGAGAUACGGCCCAGACUCCUACGGGAGGCAGCAGUGGGGAAUAUUGCACAAUGGGCGGAAGCCUGAUGCAGCAACGCCGCGUGCGGGAUGACGGCCUUCGGGUUGUAAACCGCUUUCGCCUGUGACGAAGCGUGAGUGACGGUAAUGGGUAAAGAAGCACCGGCUAACUACGUG